UACGUAGGGGGCAAGCGUUGUCCGGAUUUAUUGGGCGUAAAGAGCGUGUAGGCGGCCUGACAGGUCUGCUGUGAAAACUCGAGGCUCAACCUCGAGAUGUCGGCGGAAACCGUCUGGCUAGAGUCCGGAAGAGGAGAGUGGAAUUCCUGGUGGAGCGGUGAAAUGCGCAGAUAUCAGGAGGAACACCCGUAGCGAAGGCGGCACUCUGGGCCGAUUCUGACACUGAGGAGCGAAAGCGUGGGGAGCGAACAGG
rnacentral:rRNA from 1 species